rnacentral:lncRNA from 1 species
GAGAGCUGACUGCCGGGCGCAGGUGGGUUGCCUGGCUCCACGCUGCGACCGGCAGGGCGAGUGGCCGAGUUCCGCGGACGGAACCGGGAGGAUGUGAGACCUGUCUUUGAAGUCUGCUCGCGCUUCCCCAAUGAACAGAGUGCAAAACAGCUGAAGAAGGAUCCUCAUUACUCAAAAGAUACGUUGACACACCUCUGGGCUUUGAGCCUGUGAGAAGGGCCCAGCUCUCUGCCACUUAAAGUAGCAACAUGGUUGAUGAUCUUUUCCAACUGUAUUCAAGUCUGGAGUUCUUCGGGUAAAAAUUAAUCUUCCUGUGGACUCCAGAGGGCCCAUGGGAUUUUCCUUUUGGAUUAGAUGGAUGGUAGCAAGAGGUGUCCUUUGAUCUUUAAGAACAGCUGCAAAAAGGAAAAAAGAAAGAAGAAAAAGUCAAGAUUGGCCACACUUAGGACUUUGGUGGAAUUACAGGAGAAGAGACCAAGGUGACUUUUCAAUCAGCUCAUCCUUUAAGGGAAGGCUCUGCAAAUGUUCAUCGAGAAAGACCAGUGGAACUGAGAAGACCCUCAACAUGGACAGAAAAUGGAACUGCCCAACCAGAGGGAAAGGAGAUCCUAUCAAAGAAAAAGGAGGUAAAUAAAUUAAAAUUCCCAGGUAAUGUGUACUAAUGUCACAUUUUUUGUAGUGAUUAACUUUAUACUUAAGUAAGUUUGGGACAAUCAUGUAAAAAGAAUGACAACUAUUUGGUGGGGAAAAAAAAAAAAAAAGGACUAUGAGUCUAUGUUCAAUAUCCCAAACAUCCUAGUGCUGAAGAGGUGUCGCUGUA